rnacentral:rRNA from 1 species
AUGAACGCUGGCGGCGUGCCUAAUACAUGCAAGUCGAGCGAACAGACGAGGAGCUUGCUCCUUCGACGUUAGCGGCGGACGGGUGAGUAACACGUAGGUAACCUACCUAUAAGACUGGGAUAACUUCGGGAAACCGGAGCUAAUACCGGAUAAUAUUUCGAACCGCAUGGUUCGAUAGUGAAAGACGGCUUUGCUAUCACUUAUAGAUGGACCUGCGCCGUAUUAGCUAGUUGGUAAGGUAACGGCUUACCAAGGCAACGAUACGUAGCCGACCUGAGAGGGUGAUCGGCCACACUGGAACUGAGACACGGUCCAGACUCCUACGGGAGGCAGCAGUAGGGAAUCUUCCGCAAUGGGCGAAAGCCUGACGGAGCAACGCCGCGUGAGUGAUGAAGGUCUUCGGAUCGUAAAACUCUGUUAUUAGGGAAGAACAAACGUGUAAGUAACUGUGCACGUCUUGACGGUACCUAAUCAGAAAGCCACGGCUAACUACGUG